ACGGGAGGCAGCAGUGGGGAAUAUUGGGCAAUGGGCGAAAGCCUGACCCAGCAACGCCGCGUGAAGGAAGAAGGUCUUCGGAUUGUAAACUUUUGUCUUAUGGGACGAUAAUGACGGUACCAUAGGAGGAAGCCACGACUAACUACGUGCCAGCAGUCGCGGUAAUACGUAGGUGGCGAGCGUUAUCCGGAAUUAUUGGGUGUAAAGGGUGCGUAGGCGGGAUGUAAAGUCAGAUGUGAAAUGCAAAGGCUCAACCUUUGAACUGCAUUUGAAACUUACAUUCUUGAGUGGAGUAGAGGCAAGCGGAAUUCCCGGUGUAGCGGUGAAAUGCAUAGAUAUCGGGAGGAACACCGGUGGCGAAGGCGGCUUGCUGGGCUUUUACUGACGCUGAGGCACGAAAGUGUGGGGAGCAAACAGGAUUAGAUACCCUGGUA
rnacentral:rRNA from 2 species